rnacentral:rRNA from 1 species
AGGCCUUGACAUGCAGAGAACUUUCCAGAGAUGGAUUGGUGCCUUCGGGAACUCUGACACAGGUGCUGCAUGGCUGUCGUCAGCUCGUGUCGUAAGAUGUUGGGUUAAGUCCCGUAACGAGCGCAACCCUUGUCCUUAGUUACCAGCACGUUAUGGUGGGCACUCUAAGGAGACUGCCGGUGACAAACCGGAGGAAGGUGGGGAUGACGUCAAGUCAUCAUGGCCCUUACGGCCUGGGCUACACACGUGCUACAAUGGUCGGUACAAAGGGUUGCCAAGCCGCGAGGUGGAGCUAAUCCCAUAAAACCGAUCGUAGUCCGGAUCGCAGUCUGCAACUCGACUGCGUGAAGUCGGAAUCGCUAGUAAUCGUGAAUCAGAAUGUCACGGUGAAUACGUUCCCGGGCCUU